rnacentral:lncRNA from 1 species
CAUGCAGCAACAGAGUGGAAGCAGGGAGCAGCCCUCCCCAGACACCAAUGCUGAUGCCUUCUUUGUCUUGGAUUCUCCAGGCUUCCAGGCUCCGCUCCCUGCCUUUUCUCCAUGAUUCCUGACUUCUGGCCCUGGCAAUCUCAGAAGAGCUUCAUUGAAUUCCCUUCCACUCAGAUCCUGGGGACUCGCCUCCCCUAGCAACACCCCUGUGCAGCCUGGACACACUGACUGAACCAAUUGUUAGGAUACUUGUGAGUAGAAUACUUGGUUCUUUCAUAAAAAUAUUUCAGAUCACCGCUUAGUUCCUGUGACUCUGUAACUUUGUUUUCCUCUGCUCUCUCCCUUUCUGGAGCUUGCUGUUGGCUCUGGAGUUAACACCUCAUGCCCCUAAUUUGUUUAAUCACACUGACUAUUGACUGAGGUAGUAGGCAGCAGGAUCUGAGAAACAUGAGGUGCAUGCCUUUGUUCUCCCAUGUGGUUCCAUUCAGGUUACUUGUCUCUCACUUAGACUGGAAACUAAAUGGAUUAGAAUAAAACCAAUUUGAGAGGGAAAGGAAAUGUUCACAGGAACAGAAAUAGAAAGUCCUGCUAUCUUGGCUGCCUAAGAUCUGUAGACCUCACCAAGGAAUUUAAAAAGUAAUGUUUCUUAUCAUAAGUGACAGAAAUAUGCCGCUUUCUGCAUCAGUAGAUAUGAAGAUUAAAGGGUCUGACCGUAUUAAACAAUUUUGCACAGCACCAGGCACUCUGGGCAGUGCUCUUGGCCUUAUUACCCUGCUUCAUGUGGUUAUUUCAGGCCCAAUUUAAGAAUACAAUGCAGCCUGGCUUUGCAAAUUGACAUCCUUUAAUUUAAACUGUCUUGUGGGAGAAUUAAGAAAUUAUGGAACAAUUAUUCCCCCUCAGUUGAAAGCUGGAUGACAUCCUGAGAUUCUUGUACAUUAGCCAUUUGAAUUGAUUAAGUCACGUAAUUGAAUUACACCUUUGCCCCCAUAAUAUCUCGUGGCAGAUAUGUUGGUGUUUCCUGUUGGGGAAAUGCUCUCAUAAAAAUAGAACAGGGGCUGG